rnacentral:tRNA from 1 species
GUCAGAAUGGCCGAGCGGUCUAAGGCUCUAGACUAAGGUUGUGCACCUUCUCCAAAACAGAGAGAUUUCUGGUCUCCGAAUGGAGGCGUGGGUUCAAAUCCCCACUUAUGACA